UGUUUGCGUUUUUUGUUUUUUUUUUUUUUUGUUUUUGACGAACAACUGUUCUUUUCUCUCAAUUAUCUAUUAUCACUUUCCCUUAUUUAUGUUUUUUUCACUCUUUACGUUAAACUCUCAGAAGAAGCACUCUUUCUCCAUAGUUCAAAGACGUCGUAGUUCCGAAUCUUCUAAUCCACAGUUGUUGUGCCUCUCGUCGCCACCGUAGCUGUUCUUCAACAGGUACUCUCCUCUUUCGAUCUAUCAGAACGGACCAGGUUAUCAUCUCCGAUUACUCUCUUGUUAAUUUGUUGUUAACUUGAUUAUGCUGAUUUUGAAUGAUGAUAAUUUGUUAAUUUCUUGGAUUCUUCACAGUUUGAUUUUAGGGUUUUUGAGUUUAUUGGUUUAAUUUCUUGGAUUCUUUUACAGUUUAAUUAUCAGGGUUUUGAUAUUUUGUUAAUUCUCUUGGAUUUCAUAUCUUUGAAUUAAAGCCUCAAAUGAAAAAUUAAACCUUUCAAAACCUUCCCAAACUCUAUCACUCAGAAUCUGGAUUUGGUUACAUACCAAUUUAUUAGUUUGAUUUGUUAUGUUUGUGGAUUGUUGUUUAUUUUUGAAAUUUUCUAUAAGCAUUUGGCAUAAACAGUUGCUAGACUAUUUGGGACAUGUUUAAAAGGGUUUUAAUAUAUGGUUUUAGUCUAAUAGUAGAUCUCUUAAACUGAUAUUUUUUCUGAUAUAGUUAUCACUUUGUAAUUACAUUAAUAUAUGGCCUGGUGCUAUUAUUCAUCAUUGAAUUCAUCUAUGAUUGGGCUAAACAAGAAGCAAUUGCAAACAUCACUUUAAACUAAGCAAGGGAUGGCUGUACAUAUAUUUCAUUCCCCUUUUCCUAACAUUGGAAAAUACAUACUCUUAGUAAUUAGGAAGGGAUGGCUGUACAUAUAGAUUCGUUAAUAUUGAAUCAAUUGAAAUAAGUGGUAUAGAUACUUUCGAGACCCUUCUCUAUUCCCCCUAACAGUGUGUGUUGGUGUGUGAGGGAUAUUUAUAUCAUGUCAAACUAAGGUCAAUUAGGAUUUAGUCAUGCGAAUAACAAAAUCACUAGUUCUUUUUUUUUGUCCGGAUAUAGUAAUCAACAGAUUCCAAUAUAAUAAUCCUUACCUCUUUGAAAGGACUUGAUCACAAACAGGGCAUGCUCCAUCAUUGCUUAACAUUUCAUUGGCAUCUUUAGUGCAUGUUAACUAUGUUAAGGAAACCAUAACUAUGUGAAUAACUACCUGAAUAACAUAACAAAUAGGAGUAGCUACCUAAUUUGAUAUGAACUAUACUGAUUUUAUUUUGAAGUUAAGGAACUCAAGGGCAAAAUUGAGAAAAAUGCAUCUGAGUUUAGGCUAAUAUUUCUGUGGGAAGAAAUUAAAUUGUCCACUUAAUGAUAAGUUGGAUCUAUAAUUUGAGUAGUCAUUACAACCAAGUCAUUACAGCUCCUCCAUCAACUGAUGGGCCUACACCAGCUACUAACCAACCUAUAUCACCUCCAAGUAAUGAACCUGAAAACAACGAUGAAUCUCAAUUUGCAGUCAACAAUCCAUCAAACAAGCCAAAGAAAAAGUCCAUGACAUAUUGGACGAUUGAUGUAAGAGAACCACCAUUUGAGUUCUACGCCAUGCAGGUAGCUUCAGAAGCCAUUUAUAGUUGCACGCACAACUGAAUUGGAGACGGAUGCUUAUAUUGCAUUAGAUGAACUUACUUCCAAGUUCAGAUAUCUUACGAGUUAUGAGUUAUGAGUUAUUCUUCACAUAAUUGAGGCUCUUGCAGAUAACAGCAGCCUGGAGGAGCUUAACCUUGCUGAUAAUUCUGUUCCGACUGAACUUUCUGCUCUACAAUGUGAUUUACCAUCUAAAAGCUGCUCACAGAACCAGGAAGAUAAACUUGAUACUAUGAAAGUGGAUGAUAAUCAAGAGGCAUUUUGCUCUCUAAAUACUUUGGACGAACAACUGGAAGUUGCGUGUUAUGGUCAUGCAAUUAGUUUUGAAAUUUCAAUUAGUCUUGUGAAGUUUUUGAUCUGACAUGCUAUUUCUUAUGAAAUAUGUUAUUGCUAGGUUACUUAUGCAUAUUCAUUUGCUAGUUUGCUUAUGAAGGGUUUUAACUGACAUUGCUAGUUUGCUUAAACACCAUCAUCAAUUAGUGUCUAUCUAUAGAACAUUUAAAUAUAUUCUCAUGCUUAUUGUUUUUAUUGUUUGUUUUGCAGAAAUGCCUAGACCAAGGAGUGAAUUGAUAAACAAUGAGGUAAACAAUUCAAAUCUUCAUGAUAAAUUUCAUUUAGAAAUUGUUUCAUUUUCUUAUAUAAUUUUGACAUUAAAUUUGAAAUUUAUUUCCCAUGGCCUGUUUCAUUUUUGUUAUACUACUCAUUUAUAUGUUAUGGUUAUAAGUACGUGCUCAGCCUAGCUCUCAAUGUUACACAUUUUAUUUUUCUUAUUGUUUUGGUUAUAAGUCAGUUUCAUGUUUGUUCUCUUAGUGGUUAUUUUUCUUAUUGUGUCAAUGUUAGUUUUUUCUUUUAGUCGUCUAGUUUUUUCUUAGUAUUGAUCCAUGGACUGCAAUGUUAAUGAUCUGUUUUGAACUAUGCAGUAGACAUCUGUUUUCAAUUUCGACAUUCGAUAAAGGCUGUUUUUCAUUUCUUCAAUUUUAGUAUUAUUACGGUGGGAGGCUUGGAGUUCACCAAUAUAAUGUAGAACUUAUUCUCUUGACAUGGUUCAGGCAAAGGCACAUGGUGCUAAUGUAGUGGAAGUUGCCUAUCCUUAUUGUUUAUCAUGGCCAAAUUGUGAAGGUGGUUUACAUGACGACGAUGUGCACGUACGCACGGUUGCAAGCGUUAAAGCUUGCUUUGGAAUUGGGGCUAUUUUUUUAUAGAAUUGGAUCUCAAGGUAUACCAACAGUAAUUCAAGUGUGAAAUUAGAUGAUCUGUAUAGUUGAUUUUCUAUAUUGCUUUAGUGUGUUAACUCAAAGCAACUUUGAUGUAAACUUGUGAGUAUCGUUUUCUACAUGAAUUGUGAGAAUCAAUUACUUGAUAUGA